AGAGGCUGGGAGUCAGCCUGGUCCCUUAAAGAAGUCAAGACUGCUUCAACCUUUUGGAUGCUCCCACUCCUCUCCCACGGCUUGAAUGCCUAGACCACAUCAUGGCACGAUUCCACCACAGCAGAAGCAGCAGUAGAAACUGUCGUUGGAUGAGGAAACGCAGACCCCGUGGUGGGGGCUCUGGACGGCGGGGCAAGGGCAGGAGAAGGGGGAAAGGAGGCCGUAAGAGGAGAGGUUGUAGAGGAAAGGGAAGGAGGAGAAGAAGAAGACACUAGAAGAAAACUCUUGUUCCAAACUGAGGCAACUUUCCUCUUCAAUGUUUUCAGCAGCAAAUGAACAAGAACAAUCCUGCAAUAAAGCCUGAAAUGCUGUACAGACA